AUGAUUUAAUUUACUCUGUGUCGGCCGGUUACUAUUAGGAUUUAAAGGGAGGUUGCCAGUGCGACGACUGAACUGUGAAGGAACUGUAGCUGAAUUUUGGCGCUAAAAUACAAGCUGUUGACACCACUAUUAGAGCUUGUCGCGGUGGGCAUAGGUUGCGGAACAUUUAAGCAUGGGCUGGCUGAAAGGAAACCCCCGGAUAUUUCCAGCAUCAGCAAUAUUACCAUUAUUUGAUCCUAUCAAAGGAGUCCGUGACCUUUGUGGACUAGGACGCGCAUUUUUUAAAUCACUUGUUAAAACGUAUAAAAAUAUUAGCUAUUUAUAUUUAUUCAAAGUAGUUUAUAUUACCCGCCUGUACAUUUAUAUGAAACGAAUCAAGAGGUUUAAUUAUUGAAUCCGUAUCGAAAUCGAAUUCGUUGCGGAAAGAAUUUUCGAUCAAAAAUGUUCAUGCGAUUAUUGAUACCGUCGACAACCUGCUUUACCAUACUUUAAGUAAACUGUGUUAUCAACAAAUUUGACAAGUUUGAAAAAUGAAAAAAAUUGCCUUAGCUUUUUGGUUCGUUUUUACAAAUAUUUAAAAUGGAUACAAUGGCAUUAUAUUUAAGUGAUAGUAAUGAUGAAAAUAGUGUAAACAUUCGUCGUGAGCGUAGAAAUUUGAGGAAUAUUUCAAAAACAGUAUUGGAAAUGGAUGACUAUAAUUUCAUCAAAAAUUAUCGGAUCAAAAAAAGAGCAUUUAUACACAUUUUGGGAGAAUGCGAAAAUGAAUUUGGAAAUGACAAAAGACAAGGUUCUCUUUCUCCAAAAAUAAAACUUUCUGCUUGUCUACGUUAUCGGAGAGGACAUGCAUAUUUAAUACUAGGUGACAAAGGCUAUCCUCUUCAACCGUGGCUCAUAACUCCAUUUAGGGAACCAAUAACUUGCAUCGGAAAAAGGAGAUUCAACACAUAUCAUGCUAAAGGCCGAAAUGUUAUUGAGAAAACAAUAGGUUUAUUAAAAUCGGUAUUUCGUUGUCUUUGUAGUGAACGAGGACUACAUUACGCACCAUAUAAAGCAGCGCGUAUUGUUAAUUUACGCUGCGCAUUGCAUAAUAUUCGUUUGCAUUUUAAUUCAAAUGAAAACAUAAAUGGGUAAAACCUUCUAACGAAGAUGAGAAUGAUAUAGAUGAUAUGCCUACCGACGAAGCCAAUAGAAUUAGAGGUAGUUUUUUAGAUCUUUUUAAUAUAAGUUCAUAUUAUGUAUUCAUAUCACAAUUAUUUAAAUAAACAUAAAAAUUCAGUAAACUAA